UACGUAGGGGGCAAGCGUUGUCCGGAUUUAUUGGGCGUAAAGAGCGUGUAGGCGGCCAGACAGGUCAGCUGUGAAAACUCGAGGCUCAACCUCGAGACGUCGGUUGAAACCGUCUGGCUAGAGUCCGGAAGAGGAGAGUGGAAUUCCCGGUGUAGCGGUGAAAUGCGCAGAUAUCGGGAAGAACACCCGUGGCGAAGGCGGCUCUCUGGACCGAGACUGACGCUGAGGCGCGAAGGCGUGGGGAGCAAACAGG
rnacentral:rRNA from 1 species